rnacentral:rRNA from 1 species
UACGGAGGAUGCAAGCGUUAUCCGGAAUGAUUGGGCGUAAAGCGUCCGCAGGUGGCUGUGUAAGUCUGCUGUUAAAGAGCAAAGCUUAACUUUGUAAAAGCAGUGGAAACUACAUAGCUAGAGUGCGUUCGGGGUAGAGGGAAUUCCUGGUGUAGCGGUGAAAUGCGUAGAGAUCAGGAAGAACACCGGUGGCGAAGGCGCUCUACUAGGCCGCAACUGACACUGAGGGACGAAAGCUAGGGGAGCGAAUGGGAUUAGAUACCCCCGUAGUCC